CGCAAGCCUGACGGAGCAAGACCGCGUGCGGGAUGACGGCCUAAUGGUUGUAAACCGCUUUUCUCUGGGAAGAUGAUGACGGUACCAGAGGAAUCAGCCUCGGCUAACUCCGUGCCAGCAGCCGCGGUAAUACGGAGGAGGCAAGCGUUAUCCGGAAUUAUUGGGCGUAAAGCGUCCGUAGGUGGUUAUUCAAGUCUGCUGUCAAAGCGUGGGGCUUAACUCCAUAGAGGCAGUGGAAACUGGAUGACUUGAGUGCGGUAGGGGUCGAGGGAAUUCCCAGUGUAGCGGUGAAAUGCGUAGAUAUUGGGAAGAACACCGGUGGCGAAAGCGCUCGGCUGGGCCAAAACUGACACUGAGGGACGAAAGCUAGGGGAGCG
rnacentral:rRNA from 1 species